rnacentral:rRNA from 1 species
AAAGAUACCCGGUAGUCCUGGCCGUAAACCAUGAGCACUGGGUAGGGGCUCGCCGAUGGGUCCCCUGCCGCAGCGAAAGCGUGAAGUGCUCCGCCUGGGGAGUAUGGCCGCAAGGCUGAAACUCGAAGGAAUUGACGGGGGCUCACACAAGCGGUGGAGCAUGUGGCUUAAUUCGAGGCUACGCGAAGAACCUUAUCCCGGGCUUGACAUGCACGGAUUAGCCUCCUGAAAGGGAGGUGACGCCUUCGGGUGGAACGUGCACAGGUGCUGCAUGGCUGUCGUCAGCUCGUGCCGUGAGGUGUUGGGUUAAGUCCCGUAACGAGCGAAACCCCUGCGACCAGUUGCCAUCAUUAAGUUGGGGACUCUGGUCGGACCGCCGGCGUCAAGCCGGAGGAAGGCGGGGACGACGUCAAGUCAUCAUGGCCCCUUAUGCCCGGGGCUGCACACGUGCUACAAUGGGCCGGACAGAGCGUCGCCACUGCGCAAGCAGGAGCCAAUCGCAGAAACCGGCCCCCAGUUCGGAUUGUGGG